UGCUAUGCAUUUUCACAGCCUGAACAGGGGCACAGAGGUCAGAGAUUGCAGAGUUUUUUCCAGGGGCAGAAAGAAAUGCUCAGUUAGUGUGGAAGGGAAGGAUAGGAUGAUAACAGGUUGAAGAGGGUCUUGGAUGCUAGGAAGAGGAGUUGUAACUAUUUUUUUUUUAGUGAGGCAAUUGGGGUUAAGUGGCUUGCCCGGGGUCACACAGCUAUUAAGUGUCAAGUGUCUGAGGCCAGAUUUGAACUCAGGUCCUCCUGAAUCCAGGGCCGGUGCUUUAUACACUGCACUACCUAGCUGCCCCUAGUUGUAACUAUUCUGAAGACAAUAGGGAGUUACUGAAAAUUUCUGAGCUGGGAGACAGAUCAGAUCUACCACAACAAGAUUAUUCUGGCAUCCAUAUGAAGAAUGAGCUGACUUCAUGCAAACACUUCUGAAGUGGGUCAAGCCUGAGGAGAAUAUUUUAGGAUGACUGACAGCAAAUUACAAGAAUCAAUACUGCAGAUGACAAAAACAUUCAUCAAAGCUGCCAGAUCCAGUAAGUCCAAGUGAAUUCCCUCACCACACCAAAGUCCUGGACCGAAAGGCGGGGGGAGGCUCCUGUUCUGUCUCUGCUGCCACUGCUUAGUUCUGGAUGAAAUAAAGAGGAAGAUCCAGAAAGCCAGCCUCACCUUCCUACUUCCUGUCUCCCUCCUUCAAGCUGAUUGGUUGAGAGUGGUCUCUUGCUGAUGUCUGAGAACAACACCCCAUUCAAGGAGAGCCAGGUGGAGAACUCCAGAAGCUUCUGCUGCCACUGCUGCUACUGCCUCCAAGGCCCACCACUGGUGUUCCUGAUGAGCUCUGGGCUGGCUCCCACCCCCCAUUUCAAGGACCUCUUUUGCUGACGUCCUAAGUUGUCAUAAGCUAGAAAAAUGUCACACUGAUAUCUGCUACUUCAAAAUUUGCUUUGAGGAGUUAUUUUAAAGUUGUUUGGAAGGAAAUGUUGGGAGAGUUAAUCUGGGUUGCUGCCUGUACUAUGCCAUCUUGUACCCCAUCCCAUGUGAAUUUCUUAUGUGUAGUUUAUUUAUUUUUUUAAAAAGAUGUGUUAAAUUUAAUGCGGUCAUAAUAAAAUUUGUUUCUUUGUUUGUUCCUGUGUGUGCAGGAAGAAAUAGGAGGGAGGAAAUCAAUAAGGGAAAAAUUAUUUUUACAAGUUUCUCUGAUAAUGGUCUAAUACCCAAGAUAAAAUAUAUAAAGAAUAGAUACAAAUAUAGAAGAACACGGUCCAUUCCCCAGUAGGUAAGUGGUCAGAGGAUAUAAAGAGCCUGUUUUCAAAUGAAGAAAUACAACUUGUCGGGGGCAGAUAGGUGGUGCAGUGGAUAAAGCACUGGCCCUGGAUUCAGGAAGACCUGAGUUCAAAUCCAGCUUCAGACACUUGACACUU